rnacentral:lncRNA from 1 species
UUUAUACUCCUGUUAGACUUAAGUAACUGUAAUGACCGUUCUGCCUUUUUUUUCUGACUCUUCUGCUACAUGUGACUGGUAGAUGUCUUCUUUCCAUCUGAAUCCUAUUUGCCACAGUGUACAUUUUCUCCAUAGAUGCUGUCUUGGAUCCAGAAAACCCCAUCAGGGUUGGCAAACAUCUCUUAUUCGCAUGCACUGGUCUCCUCUGCGUCCUGGUUGUAGACUAUAACGUGCAUGAGCUAAGGUUUUUACUUCUGUUCUCCCUUCCCCAGGAAUCAAAAAGGUCAGAAUCCCUCAUGGACAUUCAUCAUAAGAGGUUAAAGACUAAGGCUGCUGAAGAUAAGAACAGGCACCAGGAGAGAACCCCUUUCGAUCGUGAUAAAGAUCUCAAGGUUAACCGGUUUGAUGAGGCACAGAAAAAAGCCCUUAUAAAGAAAUCCAGAGAACUGAACACCCGGUUUUCACAUGGCAAAGGCAACAUGUUUUUAUAAGUAAGUGUACUUCAGUGAGGUACACGCAUACUGAUCAGCCUGAAGCCCUCAGAAUAUGCCUUUGUCCAUAGUAAUUAUGUGCACAAAUACAUUUCCUUUUGUAUAAAGUAGAUUCAGGGUCUACAUUUUUAU